UGGGGCGUGGCCAAGCGGUAAGGCGCCUGACUCUGGAUCAGGUAAUCAAAGGUUCGAAUCCUUUCGCCCCAGCCA
rnacentral:tRNA from 1 species